GUCGAGCGAACAGACGAGGAGCUUGCUCCUCUGACGUUAGCGGCGGACGGGUGAGUAACACGUGGAUAACCUACCUAUAAGACUGGGAUAACUUCGGGAAACCGGAGCUAAUACCGGAUAAUAUAUUGAACCGCAUGGUUCAAUAGUGAAAGACGGUUUUGCUGUCACUUAUAGAUGGAUCCGCGCCGCAUUAGCUAGUUGGUAAGGUAACGGCUUACCAAGGCAACGAUGCGUAGCCGACCUGAGAGGGUGAUCGGCCACACUGGAACUGAGACACGGUCCAGACUCCUACGGGAGGCAGCAGUAGGGAAUCUUCCGCAAUGGGCGAAAGCCUGACGGAGCAACGCCGCGUGAGUGAUGAAGGUCUUCGGAUCGUAAAGCUCUGUUAUUAGGGAAGAACAAAUGUGUAAGUAACUAUGCACGUCUUGACGGUACCUAAUCAGAAAGCCACGGCUAACUACGUGCCAGCAGCCGCGGUAAUACGUAGGUGGCAAGCGUUAUCCGGAAUUAUUGGGCGUAAAGCGCGCGUAGGCGGUUUUUUAAGUCUGAUGUGAAAGCCCACGGCUCAACCGUGGAGGGUCAUUGGAAACUGGAAAACUUGAGUGCAGAAGAGGAAAGUGGAAUUCCAUGUGUAGCGGUGAAGUGCGCAGAGAUAUGGAGGAACACCAGUGGCGAAGGCGACUUUCUGG
rnacentral:rRNA from 1 species